rnacentral:misc_RNA from 1 species
AACUUCAACAACACAGCCAUAGACUCUUCACACAUUUGCAUCUACAGCGUUGCCAUAAACGGGCUCGCGCAUGUGUUUUCGUUGCCGCCCACUUUUUUUCUUGCCGUUUCUUAUGUUCAGCCACGCUCUCGCUCCAUUUCUCAUUGCCACCCCCUCCCCUCCCACCCCACCUCACUUCACAAUUCGCUCUGUCAUUACACUCUUCUCCAGUUUUCUUUCCCCCCUUCUCGUCUAGACCAUCCAUAUAGGCCCACACACCCCCACAGGCCUGCCCACUGGGGCGUAGACAUCGCGCGUCAGCACUCACGCACGCACAUGCAUGUAGCGGGGAUACGCGCAUGCUGACGUCAGCCACACGAGUCUGAAAACAUCUGCAUCAACGCGGGUCGAAACGCGCCGCUCAUGUCUGCUCGGCACUCACCCAUCCGCGCACUUGUUACUCUCGGCGACGAGACUCUUGCCGACCGCUCUUGCGCAUCGCAUUCUUCAGGACUGCAUCGCGACCCUUCUCGCCCCCAUGGCACACCGGUUCUUCUGAGAUCGCCCAGGGCAUCGGCUCUGUCGUCAGCAGCGGAGUCAACAGACGUCGAGCUCAGCACCAUGCCACGAGCACCGCCUCCCACGGAAAGCGCAGCUUCUCUUUGCCACCAUUGUGACCAGCACCUUCAUGAUCGCAGCGGCAAUUGGGGCAACUUCAUUACCCCAGCUGCGGAGGGCAGCACCGGAGUCGGUCGCCUCAGUGGUACCGCGAUGCCCUCAAGCGGCUCAUCGUCCUCCUCGGCUGCUUGGCAGAGCUCGUGUUGCCAAACGGAGGCGGUUGCGGCUGACAUCAUCGGUUCAUGCGUGCUCCAGACUCCCUCUGCGUCGCCCGCAUUCCGUACGGCAUCCGCGGCACCUUCCCCUUCUCCGCCUUCUCCUCCUUCCUCGAGUUCGAUGGCGAACUCAUCUCUAAGGGCGGCGUUGCCUGCCGCGCUGCCGGGCCACCUCUCGUCUUCACCCAACCCAGUGCCAGUCUUAAGCGGGGUGGGCGCGAGGUCGUCGUCGUCUUGUACCAGCUCACCGAACUCAGUAGAGCGACGCAGCGUGACCGUCGCGCUGGAUGAGCACCCGCUGGCGAGUGCGCCAGCGGCGCUCGCGAUGGAGUCAACAUGGACUGAAAACCACAUGCUGCCUUUGUGCGUCACGACGAAGGAUGGAACGGAUGGCAGUUUAGAUAAAAGCGCUGCAGCGCCGUUCCCCAUGUUUGUGCACAACUCUGAGUUCAUACGCCGCGUAGCCGACGAGGAAAUGAAGAUGCUUGAUGACUUCAGCAGCGGUGGCGGCAUGGCACGCACCUCCGUUGCAGCUGCAGCAUCCGCGGUAGGCGCUGCAUGGCAUACACCUUCCACGCCAGUGACGGAGAUGCCGUCGAUGAGUUCGCAGCAGCCAGUGAGUGCUCGACGCGGCAGUGGCGCCGCCAUCGUCUCCGUUCGACAGGUGAGCUCUGCUGCCGGCAACGGUGCUUGCGGGCCGUGCACAAGCGACAGCGGCGCGGCACUGGCCACGGCGUCGACGCUGUUCUCCCCGCCGAAAGGUGAGAAGGCAGUGCAGCCAACACCGUACCCGGUCACUUCAGUAUGCAGUGUGCAGGACUGGUCCUCGGUGCCGCGGCUUGGGUUCCCGACCCCGAGUGAGCCGGCUGUGGCGCACGCCGAAGUUGCUUCGCAGCCCACCCGAGACGAGGAGGAGCGCAAACGAGAGGAUAAGUGGUACCGUCUCUGCCGCGGUGUCUCGCUGCUGGCGAGCGCUUCGCCGGAAGUCAUUGUGAAGCUGCGCGCCGUAGCGCGGGUGCGCGGAAUUCCGCACCACCUGCGCGGCGUCAUGUGGCUCACCUUGACCGGCACGGCGCUGAAAGUGGACGAGAACGAGUACUUCUGCGCCAAGCUACUACGGUGCAACGGGUAUGUGACGGGGCCGAAUGCGGGCGCCAUCGCUGCUGAUGUACAGCGAACCUUCCCCGGUCACCCUUAUUUCUCCGACAAGGAUGUAGGAGCGUACAAACUGACCAACGUCCUGCACGCGUUGUGCUGGCGCAACCCGCUGCUAAGCUACUGCCAGUCCUUCAACUUCCUAGCCGCUUUCCUGCUUCUCGUGCUGGACGACGAGGAGCGCACGUUUUGGUUGCUCGUGCAUAUAUUUGAGGAGCUCCUGCCCAACGACUUUUAUGGAGAAACGCUGCUGGGAGCCAAUGUUGAGCAGGCUGUGCUGGAGCAUCUUGUGGAGAAGAAGCUACCUCGCGUAGCCGCAAAGUUCCGCGAGGCGGGUCUGCAAGUGAAGACGCUCGUUGCGAACUGGAUCAUGUCCUUGUUUGUGAACGUGUUCCCGAUCGCGACGGCGCUGCACGUGUGGGACUAUCUCUUCUGCCGCACGCCAAACCCCGGCGAGCGCACCCCCGCCCACCUCGAAAUCACACUUGCCACUUUGAAGUAUCUCGACGACGCUGGCCUCCUCAUCAGCGACGAUGCCGGCGAACUUCUUAUCACCCUGCGCCGGCAAACGGCUUGUCUCUACGACGCGGCCGCGCUGGUUCGCCUGGCCCAGUCGAUGGCUAUCACACCGAAGCAGUUGCACCAGCUGCGUCGGCAAUGCAAGCCAGUAGUUGUGGAGCAGAUGAAAGCACGAGAGCAAGCUCGUGCGGCGCAGCUGGAGCGCCGCGUCGCGCAGGAACCGCGCUGUGCACGCGAGAACGCGCUGUCCUCUGCCAAUGCUUCGUGAUUCAUUUCCUUUCUCUCUCUCGUUGCGCUUGCGAUAUUCUCUUUUUUUGUUGUUGCUGCUGCUGCGUCUUGUGUCUGCCCUGAAG